UGAGGCGGUUCCAGGUGGGAAGGGAGCAAAUGAGCUCAGUGUGUUGGGGGUGGGGGGAGCAGUGAGGAGGCUGGUGUCAUGGGCACAGAGUGAAUGGCAGGGCAGGAGGUGGAGGAAGGCUGCAGAGUUAUGGGAUGGGGGCUUCCUAGGUCCCGGGGAGGAGCUGGGAUUCCACUGGCUGCCUCCACUUGGAUGUCUCAAAUGGCAUCUCACACCACUGGCUGGGCACACAGAGCCCAAUAUGUAUUUGUUGCUCAAUAAAUAUUUGAUGGAAGGGCCAGGCACGGUGCCUCAAGCCUGUCAUCCCAGCACUUUGGGAGGCCAAGGCAGGCAGAUCACCUGAGGUCAGGAGUUCAAGUCUAGCCUGGCCAACAUGGUAAAACCCCCUUCUCUACUAAAAAUACAAAAAUUAAUUGGACAUGGUGGCGGUGCCUAUAAAUCCCAGCUCCUUAGGAGGCUGAGGCGGGAGAAUUGCUUGAAUCCGGGAGGCAGAGGUUGCAGUGAGCCAAGAUCGUACCACUGCACUCCAGCCUGGGCAACAGAGUGAGAUUCCGUCUCAAAAAAAAAAAAGAAAGAAAAUAUUUAUGGAGGAAUGAAUUUGAUUGGGGGUGAGCACAAAUUAACGUACCGUACCCUGCUGACCCCAUCCAACACUUUCUCCUUAGACUCUGAACCCUGCGUUGAAGGGUGAGACUGAAAGCAGUCAAAGAUCAGGCAUCCUGGGGGAGACACCCGGCGCAUUGUCCUCAGUGAUUUUUGCUUCUAAGACCUGUUGAAACUGCUGGUUGCUUCUCCUUUCUUUUUGAUCUCAUGAACAUCCUCAUAACCUUCCAGUAAAUUCCCCCUUGGCUUACAUCUUCCAGAACUGCUUUCGGGGGGUUGCAAUCAGUCUCCAAACAGGUACACCCUCAGCACCCAGGAAUUUUCUAGCCAGUCUCAGAAGGGGAUUCUCAGACCUCGUGAAGCCCUCCCGAGGUGACAGCCCCAGUUUUCAAGGUGGGGCGUCCAUACGGCUUGGCAACAGCAGCAGCAGGCUGGGAGCGAGGUGCAACUAAGACUCCCUACCUCCACUUCCACGACCUGGCUCAUGGAAGACACCAGAACCCCAGCAGAUGCGGAGCUUACCGGGGACACAGAAAGUUGGAUUUUGCCCAGAAGCCUGGCUGAUUUGUUUACUUAUUUGCAACGAUGCAUGAUAAGAAAGAUCAAAAACAAGUGAGUGAGUGAGCUAAUUUCCUUCCUUCCCUUCUCCUCCUCCCCUUCUCUUCCUCGAAUAUUUCCUAUUUGUUUACAAAGGCCCAAAAUAUCCCCCCAACAUAACAAUGGGAAAAAGUCACCUGGCAGAUACCAUUUAAAGCAAGCGAUUGGACGGGCGCGGUGGCUCACACCUGUAAUCUCAACACUUUGGGAGGCCAAGGCAGGCAGAUCACUUGAGGUCACAAGUUCAAGACCAGCCUGGCCAACAUGGUGAAACUCCAUCUCUACUAAUAAUACAAAAAUUGGCCUGGCGUGGUGGUGCGCACCUGUAGUCCCAGCUACUCAGGAGGCUGAUGAUGAGAAUCGCUUGAACCUGGUAGGCAGAGGUUGCAGUGAGCCAAGAUUGCACCAUUGCACUCCAGCCUGGGCAACAGUGAGAGACUCUGUCUCAAAAAAAAAAAAAAAAAAAAAGGUAUAAAUCGCCAUCAUGUGCCCUUGCUAGGAUGCAUUGACACAGACACACAUCGCUUCUGCGUAAUCCCUGCCAAAAACACUUAACCUGAGUUUCACUGUGAGGAAACAUCAAACAAACCCAAAGUUAAGGGGCAUUCUACCAAAUGAUUGGGCAGUACUCGUUAGAAACGUCGUUGUCAAGAAAAA